rnacentral:misc_RNA from 1 species
GGAAAUUAUGUCUCUCCACUCAAAGGUUGAUCUUGUUGUAACUCUCGGUGGGGAUGGAACCGUCCUUUGGGCAGCUUCAAUGUUCAAAGGUCCAGUUCCUCCGGUUGUUCCAUUUUCUUUAGGUUCUCUUGGCUUCAUGACCCCGUUUUAUAGUGAGCGUUACAAGGAAUAUCUCGAUUCAAUUCUUCGUGGUCCCAUAAGCAUUACACUGAGGCAUCGUCUCCAG